rnacentral:rRNA from 1 species
UACGGGGGGGGCAAGCGUUGUUCGGAAUUACUGGGCGUAAAGGGCUCGUAGGCGGCCAACUAAGUCAGACGUGAAAUCCCUCGGCUUAACCGGGGAACUGCGUCUGAUACUGGAUGGCUUGAGUUCGGGGGAGGGAUGCGGAAUUCCAGGUGUAGCGGUGAAAUGCGUAGAUAUCUGGAGGAACACCGGUGGCGAAGGCGGCAUCCUGGACCGACACUGACGCUGAGGAGCGAAAGCCAGGGGAGCAAACGGG